rnacentral:lncRNA from 1 species
CUCUGGAAAAUAGACAACUGCCCAGCCCCAACUCUCGCCUAUCCUGAUAUCAGAAUAAAAGAAGUAAUAGAAGCUUGCCAAAAAUUGACACACCAUUCUCUCACAUGGGGCCUUCAUUGGAACAUAAUUGGAAGUCUUUCUUGGCACAUUUGGUCUGAAAGAAACAGAAAGUUGCGUCAACAUACUCUCAGGCCCCCUGAAGCAAUAUUUCGGGAAAUCAUUAGGGACACCAGCCUUUCUUUAAGAUCAGAUAUCUUCAAGACUGUGGUUUACAAAUGGAGAGAGCCACCAUGCAAGUUUGGUUGACAAACCUCCUGAGGCUUAGUUACUUGAUCACUAAGAAUGCAAGCUAUAGAGAAGAUGACCGAUUAAGUGGGAAACCACUCAAUCACUACACUACAUUUUCUUUCUAUUUGUACUUUCAGGGCACCGCCCUUCAUUAUUAUUAAUGUACAUCUGCAUUAAAUAAAAUUAAUUUUUGCAAAAAGAUCUCACCUGCAUUAAAUAAAAUUUACCAUUUACGAAAAGAGAAUCCUAUAUUGAAUGUCAGUAUUAACUUUAGUGACUAAUAAAGGAGGGAAGGAGGGGAUUGUGCAAUGUUGGAAGUCAAUGAAGAAAAUAGCAGUGCAUUCUUCUCAAAAUCAGCUGAGGGGAUUGUGCAACUGAACGAGGUGCUGGGCUUUGGUACAGGGAAGCUCCCACUGAAUUACCUAGGAAUUCCAAUAUCAGGUGAGAGCAAGGUUUUUGAUUUGUCGCAUAUGCGCGCAUAUGCGAGCGCAUAUGCGAGCGCAUAUGCGAGCGCAUAUGCGAGCGCAUAUGCGACCAGGCGGUGACCCCCCAUCGCAUAUUUUUGGGUUUAGCCGGAUCCGGGUCGGAUCCAGAUAAACCCGAUCCGUUAACCCUAUUAAAUUAAAAAAACUUUAAUAGAAUUGUAUUAUUCUAUUAAAACUUAAGGACCUUACUAAGUGUUUGCAUUACACUUGUACUUUGAUGUUUGAAAGUUGAAACUAAUAGUUUUGUUGUUUUGUAUGUUUCUUUAAGUUUUUGUGAUUUUAAGAGUUUAAGUAUCAUUAGUCACUAUAUUAUUUCAUUUAUGAUUUUUAUUAUGACUUAUAAUAUCAGGGAUUUAUUUAAAAUAUGGAAAAUACAGGGGGUAUAUUGAAAAAAAAAAAAAAAAAAAAAAAAAUAACAUGUCGCAUAUUUGACCGCAUAUGCAACCAGGCGGUCACAUAUGCGGUAGGCGGUCCCAGGCAUCGCCUGGUCGCCUGGCCGCGUCAAAAAGCUUGGGUGAGAGGAAGAACAUAGCUCAAUGCCACAAACUUAUUGAAACUCGGGAAGGCACCCUCUCAAGGUGGAAGGGUAAGUGUUUAUCCUAUAUUAUUAUAGUAACAGGGUUCAGCUGGUCAAUUGGAUUUUUGAAGGGGUCUUAAUAUACAUACUGGUCACUGGAUCAAUGGAACUGUGUUACCAAGUGGUGUAAUCACAAAGGUGAGAUAGCUUGCUUAUAAAUUCAUCUGAGAAGGAAGACAUACAUCCCUCUUGCGCAAUAUGGCACCUCAACUGCAAAAGAAGAACUGGAAAAAGCUAUGCAAUCUCUAGAAUCCUCACCAAUAUCCCUACCAAUGCAAACAAACUUCAUUAGGAAAAGAAAGGGCCUAAGAACACUGCUUGAAAUGGAAGAAGCUGAUAUCAAACAGAAGAGCAAAACUCAAUGGCUAAAAUUAGGGGACUCAAACACUAGGUUCUUUAGCUAGACAUGUAUAUUGGACAGAUUCGGCUCGGAUAUCUUGGUAAUAUCUGGAUAGGAAAAUUCGAUUCCGAAU